CGCCUCAUCUACUGGAACUCCCCUUCCACGGAACACUCUAGGACUACAAAAGGAUGGAAGACAAGUUUAUCACGGCCUUUUUCUUCUGCCAUCGCUCUUUCUUCGGCAAACCCGGCCCGGGGUGAUUUAGUGUGCUCUCUCUCUCUCCCAUGUCACUAGUCCAUUAAGAAGAAGUCACCAGAACAUUGCAAUUGGUUCCCGUCACUUCCGUAAAUUCCCGCUAAGCUAGGAAGUUUGUUGCUCGAGGUAAUAUUGUGGGUGAGCCCUACCCUAACCUGCCUGCUUGUCCCAACCUUAGCAGCACCUACCUUAUUAUCUCGACAAACCCCUCCCACAGAUUGUGCCUCGUUCCCAGCCGUUAGAAAGAAUGUAGUAGAGAGAACGAGGGCAA